UACAAGAUAAAUCAAACUGUUACAAAACGAUUAUUAUAAAGUUAUUUAUUGUGCCUGGAAUGGACAUAUGCCAAAUGCAGAAUCCAGCUCUGCAGCGGAC
rnacentral:lncRNA from 1 species